UUCCCUCUAAAAGGAUUUACUUUGAGAAUCAGUGGCCUCCAUUUUCAGCAGUAGCGGAAGUGAUGAGAGUGAGGACUGGGGCCUGCUGGCAAGUAAGAAUACAAUAAAAUACAGUGAAAAACUUUCAGUUGUCACCGUGAAACAGCACCAUUUUGAAUAAUGUAAGAAUACAGGAGAAAAGAAAGACUCAGCUUGAAGAGAAUCUAUUAGUCCUGAGGCAGCUCAUCACUGUCAAUGAUGCCUGCAUCACCAUACCUCUGCAACCACUUUGCCACCAUCUACACCUGACCCGACGAACAUUGAAGUUGUUGAUCCUCAGGCGUCAUCUUUGCCGUUGGUUGAUUCUUCUCUGCCAUUGUGUCGUUUCCAACUAUGCCAGACCCAUCAAAGUCAAAGUUGUGUCUCUUGCUGCUGGGCCCACCUCAUCGAUGUUGCUGUGAGGACCUUCCAGCAUCUGCCAGCACUGAACUCAACCAACAAUUAAAUCAUUGAUCCUCAGGAGAUACCUUUUGCCAUUGGGCCUACCUCACAGUAUUGUCUCUGUCAAUGUAGCAGCCGCCGAUUCCAAGUGCUGUGCUUGCACAGUUGGAGCUCGCUUUCCUCCACCCUGGGCCCACUUGAGGUCCACACACUGGACCAGCCCAAAGUCCGUGCUCUGGGCUCUCGCUGUUGAUGCUGUCCAAGCUCAGGACAAGGUGUUUAAGUGAAUAAAGAAAAAGAAAAGCAGUUGGAGCUGUCAAGCUACUACACAGAGGCCCUACUCUGUUGCCAUUCCUAGACUGGCAAUGAGAGCAAAGAAUGCAAAGGGACUCCUCUUUGUCUCUCUCCAUCCACAGGGAAGGCACUGGUGAUCACAAAAUCACAUCAUGUCAAAAGAAGUGAAAACCUGAGGCAGACCAAAUGACCUGGCUGAAAGCAACCCCCUCUGAAUCUGAAAUGCACUAGGAAUAUAAUUAUCUGUCUAUUAGUAUUCCACAUGCAUAACUGCUGUUUUUGUGUGGACCAGACUUGGGUAGUUGAACAAAUAAAGGGUCAGCAAAUAUCACAGUACCCAUUCUGAAAAAGAAAGUGGUGGAAACAGAACUUUCAAGAAAAUAUAUAUAACUAUUAUUUUUCAAAGAUAAUGUCUACUAUUUUUAAAAAAAGUAUUCACAUCUGUCACCAUGACAACAGGCACUUUUUUUUUAGCAGAAGCUUGUUCACAUAGACAGGUUCUGAAGGAUUUUUCAGUAGAGCCUGUAUAGAUCAUCAAAAGUCACACUGUACCUGAAGUUAUCAUAGUUUAGAAUUCUUAUCCAGGAUUUAGAUACUAGCCUUAAUCAACUAUGAAAGUGGCAUGUCAGUAACUGAUACACAACACUCAUUACAUCCACAUUUAAUAUUUAUAUAAUUUAUGUUUAAUUUCAUCCAUUAGCUCAAGAGAAAAUUUGAACAAAAUAUCCAUCAUUCGUAAUUUAAGUCAUCCUCUACAUUAAUUGCAUACACCCACGGUUUCUAAUUCUUUCAUCUGAAGGUUUAAAAAUUAGUGUCCAUUUCCUGUCUCUAUCAUUCAAUUGCUAAUGCAUUUAACAAGCUGCAAAUAGUUGUAUAAUUUGACACACAAUGUUAUCUAUAAGGCUGUAAAUUUUAUUUUACAAAGAUUAAAAUAUAUAUGUCAAAAUAUUAUCUCUCCUGUCCCAAGGCUCAACAAUCUAAUUCCUAAUUUUUAGUGUAGUAUUGUAGCAGAUACAUGUAAAAAGAAUGGCUAUGGUGGCAAUGUAGCAAUUAUGUUAGAGAAUUAUGUAAUCCAGAGGCCUGGAAAAUGAUUGGUACAGUCCCACUGACAUAAUCAGCUGACAAAUCAGUCUCUUAAGAGACUAAUGCUAGAUAAGUAGCGGAUGAAUUUAAACUGAGGGACAAGCACAAGGCAAUCCACAUGAGCACCACAAUCAAGACCUUUAAUACCAUGUUAAAUAGACAUUCUGAGUAAAAUAUAUCCCUUCUCACUUCUAAUGUUAACUUUUAAAUUGUGGUCACUUUGAAUUUUAAUUUUUACGAGUGAGCUUCUGGUCUAUAUGAGUUUUUAAUCAAUCUAUCAGUCAUUUAUCUUCAAAUUAAGCAUAUGCAAAUGAUAAACAUAUGUAAAUACAAGCAAAA